AGAAUCCCGUGCGAUGAGAUGAUCCAGGCCUAUGUAAAGUUCCUUCGAAGAGUCGAGUUGUUUGGGAAUGCAGCUCUAAGUGGGUGGUAAAUUCCAUCUAAAGCUAAAUAUUGGCGAGAGACCGAUAGCGAACAAGUACAGUGAUGGAAAGAUGAAAAGAACUUUGAAAAGAGAGUGAAAAAGUACGUGAAAUUGUUGAAAGGGAAGGGCUUGAGAUCAGACUUGGUAUUUUGUAUGUUACUUCUUCGGGGGUGGCCUCUACAGUUUAUCGGGCCAGCAUCAGUUUGGGCGGUAGGAGAAUUGCGUUGGAAUGUGGCACGGCUUCGGUUGUGUGUUAUAGCCUUCGUCGAUACUGCCAGCCUAGACUGAGGACUGCGGUUUAUACCUAGGAUGUUGGCAUAAUGAUCUUAAGUCGCCCGUCUUGAAACACGGACCAAGGAGUCUAACGUCUAUGCGAGUGUUUGGGUGUAAAACCCGUACGCGUAAUGAAAGUGAACGUAGGUGGGGGCCCGUAUGGGUGCACCAUCGACCGAUCCUGAUGUCUUCGGAUGGAUUUGAGUAAGAGCAUAGCUGUUGGGACCCGAAAGAUGGUGAACUAUGCCUGAAUAGGGUGAAGCCAGAGGAAACUCUGGUGGAGGCUCGUAGCGGUUCUGACGUGCAAAUCGAUCG
rnacentral:rRNA from 1 species